rnacentral:misc_RNA from 1 species
CGCCACCGGAGGCGGCGGUGGGUGGAGCUGAAGUGACUACCACGGUGUCGGUGGAAAAGACCGAGGUCGUCGAGGAGAAGGUUGUGGUGGAGGUAGCGACUGAGGAGGUUCAGAAUGAGGAGGAAGUCGAUCCGGAGGAGAUAGAAGAAGAUGAGGCGGUUGCUACCAUGGAUCUUGAUGAAGCUGUGAAGAAUGUUGAGCAGAAACCUGCAGAUGUGGUUGAUGGAGCUGGUGAUGGUCAACAUAGUGGUGGAGAUAAUAAUGGAAAAGUUUCCGGCGAAGAAGAGAGUGAAGAUGAAGAGGACCCCUCUAUUUUAAUGGAGCCCCUCUUGACAGAGAAGAAAGAACACAAAGAAUUUGAAAUAUUUGUUGGUAAAUUGGACAAAGAAGCAGUUGAGGAUGAUUUAGUUAAGGUCUUUGGUGUGUUUGGGGAGAUCAAAUCUGUAAGAAUUGUUAAGCACCCGUCUACACAGAAAAGUAAGGGAUUUGG